rnacentral:misc_RNA from 1 species
GAAGAGCCAAGUAAGAAGCAGAAGAAAAGCAGUAGUGCUACUUCUUCAAAGGAGACAAGUAGCAGUCAGCCAUGGCAAUGGCAGAGUUUGGUGGAGAAUUUGCGAUUGGCUCAUCAAGAGCUUCAAGUCAUUAUCGAUCUCAUUCACACUGUGGAGGCAAACGAUGCAGUGACAGUGGCUGGCAUGACCAGGCCAAAGCAAUUGCCCAACGAGCAUCUGUCAGACCUUGCCGUGUCUAUGGCAACCAAGCUGCAAUGCUUCCGUCAUUUGGGGAAAUAUUUUAAGCAAUCUGCCAAAGCUUUGGAACAACAAGUGGCUAGAGAAGCAAGAUUU